rnacentral:lncRNA from 1 species
CCUAAACCAGCAGACAACUACCAAGUGAUUCUAAUCAGAGGAAGGAUGUGAUUUUUUUCAGAAAGAUCACUGGAGCCAAAGUUUGGAAGAUAGACUUGAGAGGAAUCAUUUGGAGAGUUAAGGAGAGAACAGCUCUGAGUUGUCCCUCCACCACCAACCCACUUGCUUUCCUGUGCUUUAGAAGUAUUAAGUUACCCUGGAUAUUCCUCAUAUCUCCACACUGCUCUACCUUUUCUCCCUUUCCUUUUUUUAAACAUAAUUUUCUCCUUCUAACAUGCUGCAUUCUUAUUUGUUCAAUGUUUGUUGUUUGUCUGCCCUGCUAGAAUAUCAGCUCCAUGAAGAUAGAACUCUUUGUUGGGUUUGCUAUGGUUUCCCUAGCACCUGACAUAAUAGAUGCUCAAUAAGUGUUUGUUGAAUGCAUGAAUUGCACGUGAGAACUCCCUGUAUUUGCCUCUGUAUCUUUGCCUAUAGUGGUCCUUUUGUCUGGAUUCUCUUCUGUCCCAUCUCUCACACUUUCCAGAUUUAAGCAAGGCUUUGGCUUUGUUGGUUCAUUGUAUGUUACUACUAGCACCAUACAAUAGACUGGGUAAGUUUUAAAGAAGUGUAUUGUGGUUUAUAGUUCUGGAGGGGCAGCAUGUGGUCAAGACCUUCUUCCUGGCAGAGUCCCCAGGCAAGGUGGGGCAUCAUAUAGCAAGAGACAGGAAGUGUAUGCAAGUGUCCUUGUCUCUUUCCUUCUUUCUAUAAAGUCCCCAGUUUUCAAUCAUGGGGAAUGAUUAGACCAAUGACCUUGUCUAUCACUUCCCAAAGGCUUUACCUCUACACACCACAGUCACAUUAAGUUUUCAACUUAGUACCUCACAAUGAGAAUUAAACUUCAACCUGAGUUUCAGAAGGGAUGAACCAUAUUCAACGCACAGAUAGUGAACUCCCUAGAAUUCUUCCCUGAUUUCCAACCAUGACCUGCCACUCUUCAGCUGACUCUCCUCAUGAGUUCUGAAAUCAACCCUAGGAGCAGUCUCAUCUCUGCAUACAACAUGGUCCAGAGCAGAGAAAUGC